CAGAGAAAUGCAGCUGCUAUAGCAACGAGAUACAGUCACCAAUUCUUCCAGUAAACAAAAUACUCCAUAAGGAAAAUGCAGACAUCAAGGCAGGAAAAACACAGUCACAAAGGCCUCCAGUAGUAAAAAGCAAUCCAGGAUAUUUAUUGUAACAAAAGAAACAUGAAGCGCUCUAGAUUAACAACAAAGAAUCAGUGAUCGGUGACCGAGCUAAAAAGUGCUGGAGAAAUGUCCCAGAUCAGGAAUAAUUGUCGGGCAUUGCUACCAUUUACUUAUGAUGUUGCUGGAGUAAGAUCAUUUGAAUUAAAUAUGAGACCAUGGCUAUAUUAUUUUUUCAAAGAUGCAACCUCACCAUAAAAAAAUUACUGACUGAAAGUAAUCUAUAUACAGUAGUAGAGUGUAAGCUGAGCUUGGGGAAAACACUGCUGGUAUUGGUAUUACAUCUGCUGUUUGUGUUGCAUUUAGCAACAGGAAUGUCAGGGAAUGGAAUUCCAAAGUUCCUGUGAAAUAUACAGGAGACGGGUAAACUAGAAUGUGGCUCAUCAUGCAACCAGUGAGGAACAUGUGCAUCUUGGUGAAUACAUUGACCACUACCUAUGGAAAAAAAACAAAACAAUUUCCUGUCUGUUCAUCAAGAAAACGUCUGAAAGCUGAAUCUAUAAUGAAGGCAUUUUAAAUCUUGUCCAUGAAAUGUCGGAUGAUACUUCUGAAGUCUGAAUGGGAUAAGUGACUGUUCUCCAAGGGAAUGGCCUUACUAUGUGGUAAAGUCUGUUCAAAAAUUAUACUGACUGUAACUACUGUUUGCUUUGAAAAAGACUGUAUAAAGGAAUACUGCAAGUGUGAACUGAACCCUAGAGAUAUAAUUUUAAAUAGAUUGAAUUUCGCUUCUGUUACUUGCAAUGUUUUGUUACAAGUAAAUACUUUUCCGUUGUCCAUAUAAAUUUAAUUUAGAAACUGAGAGAGGUGUUGACUGGUUUAUUACUGUAAGUGACAUAAAAUGCUACACUGGUGGCUGCAGUAGGCAGAAGGCAUUUUUAUAAGUUCUAACUUUAAACAACCUGAAAGUA